UUAGGAAUUUUGCGCAAUGGGGGAAACCCUGACGCAGCAACGCCGCGUGGGCGAUGAAGGUCUUCGGAUCGUAAAGCCCUUUUAGUUGGGAAGAACACAAUGACGGUACCAACAGAAAAAGCACCGGCUAACUCUGUGCCAGCAGCCGCGGUAAUACAGAGGGUGCGAGCGUUAUUCGGAAUUACUGGGCGUAAAGAGAGUGUAGGCGGUCCUGUAAGUCUGAUGUGAAAGCCCUGAGCUCAACUCAGGAAGUGCAUUGGAUACUGCAAGACUAGAGUGUGAGAGAGGAGAACGGAAUUCCUGGUGUAGAGGUGAAAUUCGUAGAUAUCAGGAGGAACAACGGAGGCGAAGGCGGUUCUCUGGAUCACAACUGACGCUUAGGCUCGAAAGCGUGGGGAGC
rnacentral:rRNA from 1 species